CCACCAUGUUUUUUAGAUACUAUAGAAUGACACCACCCAAGUUCAACGAACUGCACAAACUGGUGAAAAGGGACUUGGUGAAGUCGUUCUUGUGUCGCGAACCUUUGUGUUCUGAAGAGAGGCUGGCCAUCACCCUCAGGUACCUCUCCUCAGGGAGUGCAGUCAAGCAGAUUGCAAUGAAUUUCAGAGUUGCGCCAUCAACAUGUCAUGUCGUCAUUCACCACACCUGCAAAGUUCUCUGGCGGCACUUACAGUCGCUGUACCUACCUGAGCCAGGACUUGCCCAAUGGCAAAACAUCGCUGAGAAAUUCAGCAGGCGCUGGAAUUUCCCCAAUUGCAUCGGGGCAGUCGAUGGCAAGCACAUCCAAAUUAAGGCGCCACCAAACUCUGGCAGCAAAUAU